rnacentral:lncRNA from 1 species
AGCACACAAAUAAGGAGUACAAUUUUGGUAUCCUUGCCUACGCUUCUGCUUUGCCCGAUUGCCCACGCUUCGCGUCGGUGCUCCAUCUUGUGCAGAACUCGAGCUCAGUAGACGUUUCGUGAGCCUGCAGAAACGAUUAGUAUGCGGUAGAGAAUGCGGGUGCCGAGCCCGAAACGGAUGGGUGCGCCAUCGCGAUGAAGGCGGGCGUGGCCUGCGGCGUGCCGUGCCGGCUGUCCCGCCUGUGGCUCGUUUGCACGGUUCACCCGAGAUCGUAAGUUACACGAGUUAUCUUCUUAAUGGGACGGUCUCCAUCAUCCGCUGUCUGCGUGCUUUCCGAUUCCAACGCUCCUCAGGCUCAUGCUUGACAAUUGGGGUGGUCGUCGGCGUGAGUUGUUGAUAUCAGUCAGCCGUACCUCCAUCGGCCUUGAGGCCCACGUUCCUAUCACAGCCAGACCGAGGUGUAUGUGUUGGGAUGAAGAGGCCAGAGCGUGGCCGUCGCGUCGCUGAACGGGGGGGGAGGGGGGGGGGUCAAACGCGUGGGUUCGUGCCGACACAACGAUCCGACGCGCCUCUUUACGUAAACCGUGAG